UCCGGAGGCGGCUCUUGAACGUCAGCCAGGGUGUUUGGACUGUCGCUGAGUCUGGGUCAACAGGCCGCUCGUCUUCGGCGAUGAAAAAGAUCAUCGCAUUCGAGCUGCUGGCAUUAAUAUGACUGCCGUUCAUCUGUCUAAUGUGAAGUCGCUCCUCUUUGCCAAAUGAGCAAGCUCAUCUCAGCAUUUCCUGUUUCCUGCCCUCUCCUCUCCAAAUGCAAGGACAUGCACAGUUUAAAGUCACUGGAGCACUACAGCGAAAUUGUGUCCAAUCUUCACCACAUUUGGCUGAUAUCAUCUGGAUAUCCUGGUGACCAUUUGAGAAGAUUAAACCAUUCUCUUUGCUUUAAGAGACAAACCCUAAUUUCCUGUCCAGAUUUGAGUCAUGUAAGAAAGCAUGUAGAUGAAGAGUCAGUGGAAUAACGUUUCUGAGGAUGGUCUGAUCAGG